rnacentral:lncRNA from 1 species
AUUAGUCAGUUUAGAAAACUAUACUAUUAGGGGGAAAAUAACUGAAUAAUUAUGUGUACGAAUAUAUGUGCCCAUAUACGUCUGUCUGUCUGUAUGUAUGUAUCUCUCUAUCUAUAUAUGUAUAUAUACAUGUAUAUAUAUAUAUAUAUAUAUAUAUAUAUAUAUAUAUAUAUACAUACAUUUACAUAUAUAUACAUAUAUAUAUAUAUAUAUAUAUAUAUAUAUAUAUAUAUAUAAAAAUGUAUAUAUAUUUAUUGAUGUAUAUAUAUGUGAGUGUGUCUGCGUAUUUAUAUAUAUGUAUAUGUAUGUAUGUAUAUAUACCUACACGUGUGUAUAUAUCAAUAUAAAUAUAUGUGCCUAUGCACACAGAAACACACAUACAGUUGUAUAUGUACAUGCGUAUAUGUAUAUAUAUAUAUAUAUAUAUAUAUAUAUAUACAUACGUGUUUAUUCGUCUAUAUACGUUACUUAAAGCCUUUUACAAGACCGUUCGUUCUUUGGAAUUUUUCACACAAAGCGAUGCAUGCAGUAUGUAUUCAAAGAAAACACAUCAUAGUGUGCGGAAAAUCGAUGGUUUUGAUGGUGGUGUUGGCGUCGAGUGGGGUGACUGGUGUUGUUCAAUAACCCAUAGAUUCUUUGGAAAACUACUGAAUUCUUCCGUGUUCACGGUGGGCAUUGAGAGUAAGCUAACCUGAAAGAGUUUAUAUCUCUCAAAGUUACAAACCCUGCUUGCUAUUAGAACCUUACAUAACUUGAUGGGAAAACACUCGAUAACUGAAAUCAUUCCCUUUGAUGCCUUUCUACGGUGGGUUGUACCAAAUAUGCUGUACUUACUUACAGGUAAGUGAACGUAACAACAACUGAGAAGUGUUUAAGGCACAAUAAACAGUUGCUACAGAGGAUCCUUAUGUCAGAAGAUAGGCAAAUCUUGUCACAUAGAAGCUCAAUAUUUUGUGAACGUAAAAAUAAUUUGUCAAUAAUUUUUUUAACUCGAUUUUAUCUUAUUGUCUAUUUCAAAUUCUUAUUAAUUCGUACAAACUGGCAGUGUGUCUGUCUGUCUGUCUGUCUCUCUCUCAGAUAUACAUACACAAAUCACCUUUUCUCUGUUUGUCUGUCCUCCAGAUGAAGAUUACCAUGAUAUUAUUACUUACUAUAUUAUAUUAAGAAUCUUACGUACCGUAUAACAUUGCCACCAUUGCUAAUAACAGUAAUCUUAGAAAUAAUCGGUAAAUAAUCGAUGGUUAAACAACAUUAUGGUUAUAAUGUAGGAGUGGCUGUGUGGUAAGUGGCUUGCUUACGAACCACAUCGUUCCGGGUUCAGUUCCACUACGUGGCACCUUGGGCAAGUGUCUUCUACUAUAGCCUCGGGCCGGCCAAAGCCUUGUGAGUGAAUUUGGUAGAUAGAAAUUGAAAGAAGCCCGUAGUAUAUAUGUAUAUAUACAUAUGUAUGUGUGUGUAUGUGUUUGUGUGUCUGUCUUUGUCUCCCACCCCCAACAUCGCUUGACAACAGAUGCUGGUGUGUUUACGUACCCGUAACUUAGCGAUUCGGCAAAAGAGACCGAUAGAAUAAGUACUAGACUUCCAAAGAAUAAGUUCUGGGGUCGAUUUGCUAGACUGAAGGUGGUGCUCCAGCAUGGCCACAAUCAAAUUACUGAAACAAAUAAAAGAGUAAAAGAGUAAAUGACAUACAUUUAUUGCAAAUAUAGAAUUGCGAAAUUUGUUUAGGUUACUUUCAAUUUAAAAGAUUUGAUUCAUUUUGAAAAUUGCUAUUCACUUCUGUAGUUUUCAUUCCCAAUUAAAUGUGAAAGAUGCAAGAUUAUAAUUAUUGUACUAACGAAAUGCCCCACACCGGGGUGCUAACAUCACCCGCCGUACGACAGAUUGCACUCUCGUAUGUAACAGACAUCGAAGAAUAUGAGCAACAGGGUGAGAUAGAAAAAUCUUCCAUAUUUUACAUAACUAUCCUUGUAGCGUUAGAGAAUUUAAGUAGAUGAAAGUGGUGUUUUCAUGUAACUAAUGUAUUCUGCAAUUCUUUUAUUGCUGUGCACCAUAUAUAUAUAUAUAUAUAUAUAUAUAUAUAUCACGUGAUCACGUGACCGACCAGGCUAUCAGAUGUUGCUACAUAUCGCUGGUCACAAUGCGCUUCGCACUGUUUUAGCCUUCGAUGACGCCACCCCGCUGGCUAAGCGAGCAGGCCAACAGAAGAAAGAGUGAGAAAGUUGUGGUGAAAGAGUACAACAGGGAACACCACCACCCCCUGUCGGAGCCUCGUGGAGCUUUAGGUGUUUUCGUUCAAUAAACACUCACAAAGCCCGGUCUGGGAAUCGAAACCGCGAUCCUAAGACCGCGAAUCCGCUACCUUAACCACUGGGCCAUUGCGCCUCCACACACACACACACACACACACACACACACACAUAUAUAUAUAUAUAUUUGUUGUGCAAGAUUUUUAUGUGAAGUCGUGUGUUGAAACAGAUAUUGUUAUAUUUCGGAAUGGUCAUUUUGCCAGUUUAGCCAAUAAAAACACACGCACUAUAUAUUUGGUGUUAUUUUGCUUCAGUGUUAUUUAUUUUUACAUUAAUAUUAAUCUUAUUUCGACCUGUGACCGCAUCAGUGAUCCUUUGUUUUCUUCUUUCUUAUUUGUGUCUCUCUUUACUAACCGUCAGCCAUAAGUGGAUGUAAACACAUGAACAAAAUAAGAAUAAACAAAAACAACAACAACAAAAACAAAUUACAUGAACGUAUAUAAACAGAAGAUACAAAUAUUACAGGCACCCCCCACCCACACACACACACUAAAUAAACAUAGACGCACAUAGAGAUAUAAGCAUGCGCAAAUGAAGACGUACAAUAGAAAUACAAAAUGGCUGAUGGUUAGUAAAGAGAGACACAAAUAAGAAAGAAGAAAACAAAGGACCACUGAUGCGGUCACAGGGGUGUGACGAAAGAACUCUGGCCAAAAUAAGAUUAAGAUUGAUGUAAAAAAUAAAUAACACUGAAGCAAAAUAACACCAAAUAUAUAGUGCGUGUGUUUUUAUUGACUAAACUGGCAAAAUGACCAUUCCGAAAUAUAACAAUAUAUAUAUAUAUAUAUAUACAUAUACAUGUAAUUGUCUUUAACUAAUUGCAGUUUGAUAGCAAAUUUGCAUGAGUGAUAAAAUUGAAGAUUUUAAUAUUUAUUAUUAUUAUUUUUUUUAAUGAUAAUUAAUUCUGCUUUUCAUGUCUCCUGAUGAAUAUAAUCAAUGUUAUUAAAGAUAAGGAGGAAGGGUGGUAGUGAUUAAAGAAUUAUUAAUAUAUAUUCAAUAUCGAUAAUGAUAAUGACAUUUUCAAAACCUAAUUAAUUAUCUCAUGCAAGGAACCUAUGGAUGCUCAAAAGAAAUAUUCCUUACACGUUAAUUCUUACAAAUUUUAAUAAUUACUAAUCUCUCCAUUGAAUAGGUCCAUCCAACGAAAUGAUCAUCCAAAGUAGUCUUUGAUGUUCCUAAGAAGCAGAGAAAGUCAUAUGUUAAAGAAGUUGGCUUAGCCAUCACGUGAUUCCAAGUUCGAUCUCAUGUUGUUCUACCGCUUUUACCUACGAUCAUGGAAUUGAAUACCACAUUAAUUUAACGUGCCAUUUAAAAAAAUACUGAGAGGCGGAUUUAAAGAGAUUUGGCUGUCAUUUUCAGGAUGUCUAAUGACCAAGGAAACUGAACAGAAUCUCAUCGUGUAUAUGUGUAUUUGUGUGUGUGUAUUUGUGUGUGUGUGUGUGUGUGUGUGUGUGUGUGUGUGCAUGCAUAUGUAUGAAUUGCGUGGCGCCCGUUCAUGACUGUGUGUGAGUUUGCAUGCUGCUUAUUCCUUUGUGUCAUAGUUUGGUUUGAUAUUGCUCAGCAGUUCAGCGGUGCCCUUCGUUUCUCUCGAGUGGUUUGUGUUCUUGUAUAUAAAUCUCUUCACACAUACAAACAUUCAGUCACGCAUACAUAGAUAUAUGCAUAUAUAUAUAUAUACCAUAUGUAUAACUGCCGAUAGAUAGAUGAAAAGACGUUAUAUGCCUUAACCUUUCCAUGGCUUCACUCCAGUGACCGAAAGCAAUCAAAGAAUAAAAUGCUGUGUGUAACCGCUUACACCUUAAGAUACUAAAUAGUUAAUUAAAAUGUGUCCGUAUGAGGGUGGUGGGCUUAUGGCUGGGGUGUUUCAUUCGCUUCUGAAUUAUUCCAAAUAUUUUUGUUCUGUGGAAAUGCUAGUUUCUGGUCAGUCGUCUUAAAUAAAAUAAAUGGCUUCUAGUCAACACUCCUCUCUCACAUACGCUAUCUAUUUAUCUAUUCAUAUAUAUAUAUAUAUAUAUAUAUAUAUAUACAGUAGCAUACACGCUAUAUAUAUGUGUGUGUAGGUGUGUAUAUAUAUAUAUAUAUGUGUAUAUGUAUAUAUAGAUAUGCGUAUAUGUAUAUAUAUAUAUAUAUAUAUAUAUAUAUAUAUAUAUAUGUGUGUGUGUGUGUGUACAUAUGUAUAUAUAUGUGUGUAUAUAUGUAUAUAUAUGUGUGUAUAUAUGUAUGUAUGUAUAUAUAUAUAUAUAUAUAUAUAUAUAUAUAUAUAUAUAUAUCCUUUCAUUUGUCUUUUUUCACAGUCUUUUACUUGGUCUUCAUCUAAUUAGAAAAAUAUAUUUAAGACAAAAUCUAGGAUCACCCAGCCUUUUUGCAUUCUCUCUCUUUCUCUCAUUCUUUCUCUUUCUUUGUCUCUCUUUCUUUCCGUAACUUCUAGAAUAAAUAAAUAACAUAAACAUUAAAAAUAUACGAUAUGAAAAAAAUAAUUAUAUAAAAAACAUAUAAAAUAGGUGUUAAGUAGUCGAAACUGAAUUACUGAAUUUUUUUUGUAACUCUAGGGGUCCCCCACGUGGUUGUUCAAAGUGACAGGAGCUGCCGAAUCCAGAACAGUCUAAAGAGAUUUUCUCGACCACUCAGCCGACCAAUGUCAGAAAAGAGCACCAUUCAAAGCUAUAGGCAGUUGGGGACAAAUUCUGAAUUCUCUCCUGAUUGGCACUGUCCAAGAAGCAUCAUGACUGCACAGCGGGAAGCAGAUCCUCUCUGAAAUUAACCAAAUACGUUUUGCGAAAAAUCGAAAGACUCGCCUCAGAACAGCACUCACCUCAGGCAGCAAGCAACAGCAACAGAGAUUGUGUUUGUUUGUUUGUUUGUUGAUCGUUCAGGAAGAAAAAAAAAAAAAAACUAAAAAGACAAAACAAAAACAAAGAAAAACACGAUUUUUCUUCGUUCUUUUUUUUUAACUUUGUUAAUAAUUGAAGCAAAAAUAUCGUGUUUUUUUCUACUCCCAGUAAAUCGUUAAACAUUUUCUGUGCUAAGCUACAGAAAUUACGAUGGAAACUAUGUAAGUUAGUGUAAACGUAUAUUCUUAUGAAGAGAAAAAAAAAAGAAAAAUCUAUUUAUUAUAUUUUUCCAUAAGUAAACCCUACCCCUCAAAAAAAUGCGGCCAGUUGUUAGCAUGAGUAAGUCCAAUAAUGAAUAACAAAUCUUUCAGUUGUUUGAGGGAAUGAAAAAAAUAUGAAAGAAAAAAGAAAGAAAAAGCUUAAAAUUCAGGAAACGGCUAUUCUGAUUUUGAUGAAGCAGGAAACGAUUUUUCCAGUGAAAAAAUUGUUUUUUUGAAAUUUUUAUGCUAGAGUUUUUUUCCAUCUAUAUCAUGUAGUGUAUAUAAUGCGUAUAUUCUAUUUAAUAUAGUCAGUGUAUAAUAGAAAUAAGUUCUCUGUAUGUAGAUUAGAAUAGCUUAGAUUUUAGAUAAUUAUCUAUAGCGUAUUUUAUUGUUCUUUCUCUCCUUUCUUCUUUCCCAUUCCUCGUGUCUGCUACAGAGGUAAGUUUCUCGGAGAUAAGAAACUGCUUAUCACGGUUUCAGUUCUUGUUUCGUAUCAUUACAAUCUACUUAUCUACUUCCAUCCAUAAUGACGGAAGAACUCUAUAUGGUCCUUAGUAAAAUCAAUUUUCUCACCUCUCUCGUUAAGAAAUCCCAAUCUCAGUGUCUAUUACGCGUUAUCCCCCACCUCCUGUUUGUCUCUAUACGUUAGACAAGAUGUUUGUUCGGCAUACAUUUACAGAUGCAAUGUUUGGACACAUCGUCAGUGUUGUGAUCUGGAAUCACGGGUUGUUUCGGCUCUUACAACCAUAAACCUUCAGUCAGGCAAUCCGAUUACCUAAUUCAUCCAACUUAAGCCUGUGUCAUAUCGGCAUUCUUCUGACACCACCGAUCACCGCUUUUCAACGAAAACUAUCUAGAUGCUUUCUCAGCAACUAAUACGUUAUUUCUGAUGGCACUUCGGCUCAUCCCCAUAACACCCAGGGUUCCACGGGCCUUAUUCAGUGUAUCAUGACAUAGUUAGUAUAUAGCAG